UUUCAGUUGAGAAGCUGCCUUUGCAGUGGAGAUUCCAGGAACUUAUCCCUUUUGAAUGGGAUGACCACAAAGAGUCUAGAGGAGCAGAUAUGAGUGACCAGAUCCUAGAGGUCAAAGAGAGAAGCAUGAAGUGCUCCGAAGGCUGCCAACAAAAUGUCAAGUGAGUCCACUGACAAAAAGGAAGAGAAACCUUGGAAAAACAUUAUUGCUUAUGUUCCAUCUGAAUCUGAGCAGCUGACCUGAGGAAGGAGGAAAGAUUCCGGGAAAUGGAAUUACUGGGUCAAAGGCUGGAGGUAUUUUUAAGACUCUUGAUACAUAUUAUCAAUGUUUUUUUCUGCAAAGGUUACGCCUAUUUAUACUCCUACUCACAGAGGGUAAGAGAGCUUAUGCAUGGCACCCUUGCCACACUGAGUAAUAAAAAAUAAAUAAAAAUCCUGUUACUAUAAAAGGGACACAUUUUAUCUCAUUUUAAUAUGGGUCACAAAAGAUGGCAAGGUUUAUAUUCUCCAACAUCAACAGGGAGAGCAUUGUUGGUGUGAAGAACAGCCUCAGCCAAGAGUCAAAGGUAGGAAUGCUUGGGAGCUGCCCCAGUGAGCUCCUAAUUGGGCGUCUAAACAAUCUUUUAGCUCAUACAAAGCUUAUGCCUGCAGAGUUUUUCCACCAAGUAAUCUGUGACAGCAGCUAAAGGAAAUGCCUAAUUAGGGUUUUAUAAAUGUGGAUCUAUGAUCAGGAAGAGACCUACAUUGACCCUCUGCUAGAACUGCAGGGACAAACUGUAAUUGAAAAAUGAUCAAGCCAGGAGGCAGCUAAAAUAAAUGUGUCAAUGCAUAGUUCAACCAAGAAAGAAGAAAAUUCAGCAAAGUGACCUUUCCUUGGGGGAGAGAAGAACUUCAAUUCCCGACUGUUCAUGAAUCACUGGUGUAUCCAGCCGCACCAAGUAUGUCCAAGCUCCAAGAAUGUCUGACACCAUCCCCUAGAAUGAUGCCUGAGGCCUUGCCUAGUCCGAAGACACAUGAAUCUCUGGACACCUGCAGAUGUACUCCCACGGCAGGCAGCUGCAGCAUAGCUGGUAAGUGACUCAGAGACCAGAGACCCAGGGAUACACGUUCAGGAAGGGUAGCAGGGACAACGCCAAAGGAGGUCUGAGUUAGGAGUGUGCUGGAAUUUCAGUGUGAGUCAGGGGCCAGGGAAGCCUCCCAUGAGAUGAGGAGGAGAAAAUCAGGUGAGAGGUUCUCUGUGUAGUUUCUGACUGGUUGAUCCAAGUGUUAUAUAAGUGGCCAAAUUGGAAGUUCUGACUUGGUUUCCUCAGGAAAUCAGGUGUUUUUGAAUGCAGCUAUUCAACCUAAGAUACAUUCACCUACCAACUACUAUCUGUCA
rnacentral:lncRNA from 1 species